UACGUAGGGUGCGAGCGUUGUCCGGAAUUACUGGGCGUAAAGAGCUCGUAGGUGGUUUGUCGCGUUGUUCGUGAAAACUCACAGCUUAACUGUGGGCGUGCGGGCGAUACGGGCAGACUGGAGUACUGCAGGGGAGACUGGAAUUCCUGGUGUAGCGGUGGAAUGCGCAGAUAUCAGGAGGAACACCGGUGGCGAAGGCGGGUCUCUGGGCAGUAACUGACGCUGAGGAGCGAAAGCGCGGGGAGCGAACAGG
rnacentral:rRNA from 1 species